rnacentral:rRNA from 1 species
CGGAGGGUGCAAGCGUUAUCCGGAUUCACUGGGUUUAAAGGGUGCGUAGGUGGCUUUGUAAGUCAGUGGUGAAAUCUUAGAGCUUAACUCUAAAACUGCCAUUGAUACUGCUUAGCUUGAAUCAAGUAGAGGUGGAUGGAAUAAUACAUGUAGCGGUGAAAUGCUUAGAUAUGUAUUAGAACACCGAUUGCGAAGGCAGUUCACUAUGCUUGUAUUGACACUGAGGCACGAAAGCGUGGGGAUCAAACAGGAUUAGAUACCCUGGUAGUCCACGCCCUAAACGAUGUAAACUCGACAUUAGCGAUAUACAGUUUAGUGUCCAAGCGAAAGCGUUAAGUUUACCACCUGGGAAGUACGUCCGCAAGGAUG